GCAGGAGAAGUUCAGAGGGAGAGAGAGAUUGACUCUGUUUACUAUAACAAGGGCUUUGGGAAUUAUGAGCCAGGAACUGUAGACCAAAACCGUACAAAUAUUGAGUGGAAAUACUGGUUUGCAUGACUAUAAACUCCAAGAGGGAGAGGACCACAGAAAUGGAGCAUCAAAAUAUUUUUGGGAAGGAAGAUGUUUCAAUCUCCCUCAAAUCUAUGUUGGGGUUUAUUUCUGCUGCCAAGGUCUAAAACAGCUAUGAAGUUGUGUCUUACUAUUUCUUCCAGUGGCCUGCAAUCCACUGGAAACCAUUUCCUCUGUUGUCCAGCAAGCAGUUUAAUUGAGUACUGCAGUACUCUUCUUGAGGCAGUACAAGUUGGGGAAUAAACUCAAGUAAGGGGUCAUGUCCUGUUUAGAAGAAACAAUCAUUUUAAGAGUAAAGAAUUUGUUUUGACUGAAGAUAAUGAUGGAAAUAAUGGAAGACAAGAAGUUAAGAAAUUACAUAUAA
rnacentral:lncRNA from 1 species